GUCCCUGUAGCGCAAUGAAUACCGCGUUGGCCUUCUAAUCCAAAGGUCGUGGGUUCCAAUCCCACCUGGGAUG
rnacentral:tRNA from 1 species